CGUGCCAGCAGCCGCGGUAAUACGUAGGUGACAAGCGUUGUCCGGAUUUAUUGGGCGUAAAGGGAGCGCAGGCGGUUUGUUAAGUCUGAUGUGAAAGCCUACGGCUCAACCGUAGAAGGUCAUUGGAAACUGGCAAACUUGAGUGCAGAAGAGGAAAGUGGAAUUCCAUGUGUAGCGGUGAAAUGCGUAGAUAUAUGGAGGAACACCAGUGGCGAAGGCGACUUUCUGGUCUGACACUGACGCUGAGGCUCGAAAGCGUGGGUAGCAAACAGGAUUAGAUACCCUGGUAGUCCACGCCGUAAACGAUG
rnacentral:rRNA from 1 species